AGGGGCCGGCAGCGGCUUCGGCAGCCUCGGGGAGGGGAGGCGGCGCACCGGCCAUUUUCGGCUCGGGUGGAGCUAAGUUUGGAAUCCAUAACCUGGAGGUG
rfam:Felis catus c468101598.Contig1, whole genome shotgun sequence.